rnacentral:lncRNA from 1 species
AGGCCUGAAAGGUUAAUUCCGUCAUUUCCUUAUAUCUUCCUGUAAAUCUUACUCUAUUCAUUUCUUUUCGUUCUCCCCUUACUACUGCCAAAAUCCCCUCACAUCUCUCUUCCUCCUAUCCUCGCCGGCGUUGCCGUUUUCCUCCUCCACAGAUCACCCGUAAAUCUACCCUUCGCCGGCGUCAACAUUUCAAAAUGACGAAAUUACCCCUUCUCCUCCCGCUUCUCCUCCUUUGUCUCGUCUCAUUUACCACCGGCGAGAUAAAAAACCUCAAAAUCUCCUCCGAUCCACGUGCUAUGAUCCUCUUCGAGCGGUUCGGGUUCACACAUACGGGUCAAGCCGCAAUCUCAGUCUCUUCCGUCUCCGUUAUCUCCACCUUAGCCACGCCCGACCCGUCGCGUCUCGGGUUCUUCCUCUUAUCAGAAGAAUCCUUAAUUCAAGUCCUCCUUGAGCUCCAACAAAACCCUAAUUUCUGCGUUCUCGAUUCCAAAUUCAUCAAUCACCUCUUCACUUUCCGCGAUCUCUCGCCUCCACCAAAUUCCUCAUUCAACCGAUCUUACCCCGUUACUUCCCCCAAUGAAUAUUCCCUCUUUUUUGCCAAUUGUGCCCCUGAAUCAAAAGUAUCAAUGGACGUCCGUACAGAAUUGUAUAACCUCGAUAAUCAAGUGAAAGAUU